UCUAUAUUGCAAGAAUUAUUGAAAACUAAAGAGACAGAGCAUUUGUUAUUGUUAGAAAAAAUUAAACAAAAAGAAAUAGAGUAUCAAAGCAGUUGCGAAAAAUCAAUUUUACAGAGCCAAAAAAACAAUGAGUUAUAUAAUGCUUAUGAGAAAUUGCAGCUGUUAUUAAAUAAAACGGAGUCAGAAUACUUGAUGUUGGUAGACAAAGUUAAACAGAAAAAAAAAGGAACUACAUAAUCUUUGCGAAAAUAUUUUUAUACAGAAUCAAGAAAAUGAUGAACUACUUACGAGUUAUAAGCAAGUUUCUAUUCUAUUUGAGAAGAAAGGUUAUGCACAAACAAAAGAAAAUAAGCCAACUGAUGCCUCGAUGAUAUACAGUAAUAUGAGAUCUGCAAAAUACAAAUGGCGUCAUGAUUCAUAUAAUGUUAUGAAGUAUAUCCAUGGUGGCCACUGAGGCCUAAUUUAUGGAUGUUGGGGUUUAUUAGUUACUUCUUCCUCUUUAAAAGAUAUAGAAGAAUUUAUAUUAUCUUACAAACGUGGUCAAUUAAAAAAAACUUUAUUGCAGAAUAAAUGCUAAAGGAGCACAGACAGAGCAUGCAAUGAAAGAAGCUGUUGCCAAAAAGUACACAGCGCAUCUUUCUAGCCGUAAGUACUCACUAAUGUGUCGUAUCCAAGCACGCAGCUUUCAAAAUUAUACUACUAAAAAUGGUAUUAACAUUGACUAUGGUGAAUAUAAUAUUGAUAUUAAAACAAAGGCUAUAUCAAACAAAGCUGGUAGUUUGUAAGUAAGCAGUUUGUAAAUUCUUUAAACAUUGGUGUUGUAAGUGUAAUUGCCGGAUGUUGUAGUGCCUCUCAAACUAUAACAGGUUUAAUUACAAUGAUUUCAGAUCUACAUUCCAAAGUCGAUUCAUUAAAAUCUAAGCUGAGAUGGUUAAAUGACAAUAAAAAUCACUAUGUUGUUGAACUCUCUGAUGAUGGAACUCCUGAAUCAAAAGAAAAGUCUAUUGUAACGCAUUUUCAAACUUUGGUGAAAGAAUUCGAAGCCGCCAAUUUCACUAUCUUCUGCAUGCAGUAACAACUGGGGAAAAGGAUGAUGUAUGUAAGAUGCAUUGGAGACAACACACUGAUGAAAUGUUGCUUAUUGAAGAAAACACAUUUAAUAUCCUCAAUGAAAAAUUAACAUUUGAAUUCAUACCAUCAGCUGAUACUGCAUGAGUAGUAUUUGCUAGUAAUUGUUUAUCAUGCAGUGCAACUUACCUAUCACCAUUUGCAAAUGUGCAUAAAGAUCAACUUAAUAAACGUGGUGCAACAAAAUCAGGGAAACUUGAAACAAAAAAGUUAGAGCAUUUUAAAAAAACGUUUUCUUCUACUUAAAAAGAAAAGUUACAGCACAAAGUAAUAUUAGAAUUUAUGGUUAGCAAUGGGAUGAGGCAGCUAGGCCAUCCUGUGAUUGGUGAGUUUGCUGAUCGAUUUCAGCCAGAACCUCUACAUUUAGAAAUCAACAGUUGGCAACAUUUGCUAUGUAAUAUUUUAAUCUUCAUUUUAAGCAUAGUCAUAAGAAUAAACAGUCUGAAAAAAAAAGUGGUUUCUAUUGUUAUACCAUUUUAUGUUGAAACUCAUAACAAUGAUCCUCUGAAGGUGCACAAAAAGGUAAACAAAACUUUAUUUAACAUUAUUCUCCUUAAGAGUUUGAACUGAAGAUUGGUUUUCAGAUUUAAUGUGAAUAGUUUUUAAAAAAUUUUAAUAUGAAUUAUUUUUUUAAUCUGUUAAAAAAGAUUAACUUUAAAAAUCUAUUUUUCAAGUAAUUUUUGAUCAAGUUUUUAGAUCAAGUAAUUUUAGAGGAAGGUUAUCUGUUUUAUUUUGUUUAUG